rnacentral:misc_RNA from 1 species
GGAUGCUUAGGUUGAGAAGGGAAAACCAGAAAAUCGGUCACCUUGCAGGGUAUCCAUUGAUUCUAUCAAAUGUACAAAUAGGAAGCAAUGUUGUCCAUGUUAUGAUGUUAUAUUCAGCUGGAUGCUCUAGGGUGGAAUUAAAUAACAUGGGAAUUACACAGAAGUAGAGGCAGCAGAACCUAGUGAAUCAUAGUUUGUGAAGGAAAAGCUCAUCAUAUUUCUCCAACACUAAACCAGAUAUUUUUCUUUUC